GACGAACGCUGGCGGCGCGCCUAACACAUGCAAGUCGAACGAGCGAGCGAGAGCUUGCUUUCUCAAGCGAGUGGCGAACGGGUGAGUAACGCGUGAGGAACCUGCCUCAAAGAGGGGGACAACAGUUGGAAACGACUGCUAAUACCGCAUAAGCCCACGACCCGGCAUCGGGUAGAGGGAAAAGGAGCAAUCCGCUUUGAGAUGGCCUCGCGUCCGAUUAGCUAGUUGGUGAGGUAACGGCCCACCAAGGCGACGAUCGGUAGCCGGACUGAGAGGUUGAACGGCCACAUUGGGACUGGGACACGGCCCAGACUCCUACGGGAGGCAGCAGUGGGGAAUAUUGCACAAUGGGGGAAACCCUGAUGCAGCGACGCCGCGUGGAGGAAGAAGGUCUUCGGAUUGUAAACUCCUGUUGUUGAGGAAGAUAAUGACGUUACUCAACAAGGAAGUGACGGCUAACUACGUG
rnacentral:rRNA from 1 species